rnacentral:rRNA from 1 species
UACGUAGGGUGCAAGCGUUAAUCGGAAUUACUGGGCGUAAAGCGUGCGCAGGCGGUGCUGUAAGACAGGCGUGAAAUCCCCGGGCUCAACCUGGGAAUGGCGCUUGUGACUGCAGUACUGGAGUGCGGCAGAGGGGGAUGGAAUUCCGCGUGUAGCAGUGAAAUGCGUAGAUAUGCGGAGGAACACCGAUGGCGAAGGCAAUCCCCUGGGCCUGCACUGACGCUCAUGCACGAAAGCGUGGGGAGCAAACAGG